ACGCUCGACACCUACGGGGAGGCAGCAGUGAAGGAAUAUUGGUCAAUGGGCGCUAGCCUGAACCAGCCAAGUAGCGUGAAGGAUGAAGGCUCUAGUGGGUACGUAAACUUUCUUUUAUAAUAAGAAAUAAAGUGCAGUAUGUAUACUUGUUUUGUAUGUAUUAUAUGAAAUAAGGAUCGGACUAACCUCCGUGUCAGCACGCCGGACGGUUAACUCUGGACGGCGGGCGUCGGACGAAGGC
rnacentral:rRNA from 1 species